UACAGAGGUCUCAAGCGUUGUUCGGAAUCAUUGGGCGUAAAGGGCGCGUAGGUGGUUCUGUAUGUCUACCGUGAAAGCGUACGGCUCAACUGUAUUUUGUCGGUGGAAACUGCAGGACUUGAGGCUGGGAGGGGCUGGUGGAAUUCCCUGUGUAGCGGUGAAAUGCGUAGAGAUGGGGGAGAACACUCGUGGCGAAGGCGGCCAGCUAGACCAGUUCUGACACUGAGGCGCGACAGCGUGGGGAGCAAACAGG
rnacentral:rRNA from 1 species